rnacentral:rRNA from 1 species
AUUGAACGCUGGCGGCAGGCCUAACACAUGCAAGUCGAGCGAGCGGCGCACGGGUGAGUAAUGUCUGGGACACUGCCUGAUGGAGGGGGAUACCUACUGGAAACGGUAGCUAAUACCGCAUCCCAUCAGAUGUGCCCAGAUGGGAUUAGAUAGUAGGUGGGGUAACGGCUCACCUAGGCGACGAUCCCUAGCUGGUCUGAGAGGAUGACCAGCCACACGGGAACUGAGACACGGUCCAGACUCCUACGGGAGGCAGCAGUGGGGAAUAUUGCACAAUGGGCGCAAGCCUGAUGCAGCCAUGCCGCGUGUGUGAAGAAGGCCUUCGGGUUGUAAAGCACUUUCAGCGGGGAGGCGUUACUCGCAGAAGAAGCACCGGCUAACUCCGUGCCAGCAGCCGCGGUAAUUC